rnacentral:rRNA from 1 species
CCUACGGGGGGCAGCAGUGAGGAAUAUUGGUCAAUGGCCGGAAGGCUGAACCAGCCAUGCCGCGUGAAGGUCAGUGCCCUAUGGGCGUUAAACUUCUGUUGUGCGGGAGCAAUAAUGGUCACGUGUGGCCAGACGAGAGUACCGUACGAAUAAGCAUCGGCUAACUCCGUGCCAGCAGACGCGGUAAUACGGGGGAUGCAAGCGUUAUCCGGAUUAAUUGGGUUUAAAGGGUGCGUAGGCUGUGAGGUAGGUCAGCGGUGAAAUGCCCCCGCUCACCGGGGUGAAGGGCCAUUGAUACUGCCGUGCUGGAAUGCGGAUGCCGUGGGAGGAAUGUGUGGUGUAGCGGUGAAAUGCAUAGAUAUCACACAGAACACCGAUUGCGAAGGCAUCUCACGAAGCCGCGAUUGACGCUGAUGCACGAAAGCGUGGGUAUCAAACAGGAUUAGAUACCCGGGUAGUC